GCGGGUGCCCCGAGGACUGCGAAUCCAGCCGUCGCUGGGGGUUCUUCCUGCUCCUCUCCAGCGUCUCGCUCGGUCUCCCCUCUCUGUCCCCUCCCUCCCUCUACUCUCUCUUCCCUUAGCUCCGACCUAGGGUGGGGAGUGACGCGACGUCACAGAGAUGCGCCUGAACUCCACUGCUCGUGGCGGACUCGUUGGAAGCCGAUUGGACUGAGCUGCGCCGGGAGCGAGCGGGGAGUGCCGGGGACGGUGAGCAGGGGAUCAGGAGCGAAGUUGUGUUCUUCCAUGGCCUUGUGGAUCAUGGCUGGAGCCCUUUCUUGGUCAGUCAUCUGUGGUGGAUCAAGGAACAGGCCCUCAGGGUACUCCCCCAGAAUGCUGCUGCCAGAGACCCUAUGGAACAAACCCUGGUCAGGGCUGGGUCUAAAGGGGCCUCACUGUCUUCUCUUGCUUCCCCAGGGACACUGCCACAGAGUGAGGUAGGUUUUUUCAAACAUUCCUCACACCAUUUCCUACAAGAACCUAUACCUCUGCCUUGACAUUGUUUCCCAGUGUGGGUUCAAACCCCUGCCCUGUAGACUGAACCCUGCCCCUGGGUCCUCAGCCUGCAUGACUGCUAUGGACUCCCAGGGCCCUGGGUACAAAGGGUGACCAUGCAGCAGAGGGUGGGGACUGAGGAGUGAAAUCUGGGCCUCUCUGUCACCUCCAGCCUCCCAAUCAUGGGAGAAGGAUUGCCCUCAAGGAGUGCCCCUGCCCUAACCCUGCUCCUCCAGUACACCUCCAGGUAGCAGUGAAACCCCAGGGCAGAGCACACAACAUCUGUCCCAAGCUCAGUUGUAAGAGAGGAGGAGGGACUGGACAACAACCUACAGUACAACAGGACUGCCCUGAAAUCCAGGAUGCAGCUAUGGUCAGCAAGGUCCACACCAUAGUUGCCUUGACCACAAGGGCCCAGCUAUAGGCAGGGCUCAGGUCAAGGGUCAAACAAGUGAGAGUUUAGUAAAACCAUACCUGUUCCUUGCCACAAGAGAAGUGUAGCCCAGGGGGGUUGUAUAACAUGGCAGCUGGGGCAGCCUCUUUGCAGUGGGAGCUUCAGUGGCUCCAUCUGCACAUCCCAUCCAGGAUCUGGUUCCUGUUCAUACCUUGAUGGCCACCAUCCUGGGGCUGACCCUGUCCUCCCUUCUGUGUCAUGGAAUCAGCCCCUCAUUGGUUGGUGUCUCCACACACUGGCCCA
rnacentral:lncRNA from 1 species